rnacentral:lncRNA from 1 species
UGGCAUAGGCCAUCAGGGUUGAGGCUGAAGGAUGUUUCUGACAGGAAAAGACAUCGGUCAAGGGAGAGGUCACCCAGCCGGUCCCGAGAGAGUAGCAGAAGGCACCGAGACUUGCUUCAUAAUGAAGACCGACAUGAUGAUUAUUUCCAAGAAAGGAACCGGGAGCAUGAGAGACACCGGGAUAGAGAACGGGACCGGCACCACUGAGAAAGGAGUCUGGGUGGAAGCAAAUUGUUUUUAAUGGACUUGCAUCUCCUCACCUUGAUCAGGACUAAAGGACGGAGGCCGCUCCACCCCUUCCCCUUCUUCCAAACCCCUAACUUCCUCCAGGCAAAACCCUCUGCCCUGCAGGAUUGAAGAUGGCUUGGCAGCCCUCCCAAUCCCACACCUUCUGUUUGCCAUGGGGGAAGAACCUAAAGACUUGCUGGGGUAGUGAACGAGGGCAUACAGGAAGACAGCAACAUGUCCAGCCCAUAGUCUCCAUAGAGAAUGGUGCUUUGUCCAAGGAAACCUGAGUUUCUGAUUGCCCAGAAGCAGUCAGUGGUGAGGUUACUAUGAGAAAAUUUCCUUCCCAGAGAAAAUGGAUCCUCUAUGUGGGGUCUUAGGAAAGUGACUGGGUGUGCCAAAAAUGCCCAGGGUUCUGCCCUCAGUACUAGAUUUGAUGGGGCCAAAAGGGUCCAAACCCUGCUAACAUACCACUUUGUUCAACUCCUGUACUUUCCUAGCCAGUUGAGGAGGGACCAUGAGAACAGAAACUACCUUGUGACAAGAAACGUGUUCUCAGUUUUCUCCUCACGUGUUGAUGGUUUAUUUCCAUGGCCUCCUAGAGGGCUGAAUCCUUUUGACUCCUUACUAUCUGACUCCUCAGUGGACUUGCCCCUCUGAAACAGAACCCAGGAAGCUUCGGCUAUCUGCCGGAAGCCUAGGCCAGCCAGAUACCACCAUUUGCUGCUUUAGGCUUGUCUGUUUGUUGCAAUAACCAGCUCUUAGGUAUUUCCUUUCCCCAAGGCUUUCCAUUUAACAUGGAAUCCUUCCCCAAGAAGGCUUCUUCCUUGUUUUAGAGGAAGGUACUGCCUUUGGGACUUAGGGAUGUCAUGGGACCUCAGUAACUAGGACCCCUAGUUAAUAAAGUACCAGAAGUGUGGAGAAGAGAGCAAUUUGAGCAGUAUGUAGCCUACUCACAUGGGCUCUUUUGCAGGUUAAUGUGAGCAUAGGCUUGCAUUUCCAAGGUACAUACUUUGACUUAACUGUGGAAUAACUCAGCACUAAUAGGCAGGUAAAGUCAAGACUGGUUUUUGGGGGUUUCUUUUUUGGUGUUUUUGUUUUUGUUUUUAUUCCUUUGCUCUGAUACUUCCCCCGUCACUUUGCCUGGAGGUGCUUCCAGCCUUUAAGAAGGAGCAGAGAAUUGGAGCUCAGAGUUGUAAGGACCAGCACACUAGUGGCCAUUUUCUGCACAAGCAAAUGGAAUUGCUUUUUUCAGCAUCCAGACUGUGAUAGGUUGCUCUUGAUGGAGGUAGCCACAGUCCUGGAGUACCAUAGGGUAAUGUUCCUUCAGCAGGGCCUGUGAGAUCUAAUGUGAAGAGAGACACAACAUGUGAGAUGGGACUUGGUGUGUGAGGCAUGGAGUCAUUGGAGACUCUUCAGAUUCAGAGGGGAGACUGAAUUGGAUGCUUUCUCUCUUCUCGGCACACUUCUGACAGACCCCUUCAGUCACUGAGGGAGUGCCCCCAAGGUUGGAGAGGCACAUUCCCUUUGGACAGAGGCUACAAGUUGUAGCUUAUUUUCCUGUCCCCUAAACCAAUCCCUAUUCCAUCAACAUGGCAUCCUGCCUAAUUUUCUAAGGGUUAAGUGAUAUGCUUAUUCUUGAAAGCAACUCGGGUGUCUUUUU